GUGACCUGCGGAGGGAUCAUUACAGAGUUCAUGCCCUUCGGGGUAGAUCUCCACCCUAUGUAUUUAUACUCUUGUUGCUUUGGCAGGCCGCUGGGCUCCGGCCUGGCCACCGGCUCUCGCUGGUGCGCGCCUGCCAGAGGCCUUCAAACUCUGAAUGUUAGUGUCGUCUGAGUACUAUAUAAUAGUUAAAACUUUCAACAACGGAUCUCUUGGCUCUGGCAUCGAUGAAGAACGCAGCGAAAUGCGAUAAGUAAUGUGAAUUGCAGAAUUCAGUGAAUCAUCGAAUCUUUGAACGCACAUUGCGCCCUCUGGUAUUCCGGAGGGCAUGCCUGUUCGAGCGUCAUUACAACCCUCAAGCUCUGCUUGGUGUUGGGCUUCGGGCGUCAGCCUGGGCCCUAAAAUCAGUGGCGGUGCCACCUGGCUCUGAGCGUAGUAAAUCUCUCGCUAUAGACGCCUGGUGGAUGCUGGCCAGAACCCCUAAUUUUUUAUGGUUGACCUCGGAUCAGGUAGGGAUACCCGCUGAACUUAAGCAUAUCAAUAAGCGGAGGAAAAGAAACUCAACAGGGAUUACCUCAGUAACGGCGAGUGAAGCGGUAACAGCUCAAAUUUGAAAUCUGGGUCUUUCAGCUUCGAGUUGUAAUUUGUAGAAGAUGCUUUCGGGUGUGGCUCCCGGUCUAAGUUCCUUGGAACAGGACGUCAUAGAGGGUGAGAAUCUCGUAUGUGAUCGGUUGCCUACGCUCAUGUGAAGCUCUUUCGACGAGUCGAGUUGUUUGGGAAUGCAGCUCAAAUGGGUGGUAAAUUUCAUCUAAAGCUAAAUAUUG
rnacentral:rRNA from 1 species